CCCAGCCAGGCCGCGCCAGCUGCCGGCGUGGACCACGGUGCCGGGUCCUGCCCAGAACAGUCGCCCCGCUGAGCAGCUCUGGCUCACAAAGACCGCGCCAGCGUCAUCCAGGCGCACACCGCAGCCAGGAUCUUGCAGUCUUGCAGAUUGAACACUAUAAACCGCAGUGCUGACCUCAAAUGCUCAAAUGGAUCCAGAAAACUACUGUUAAAAAAAAAAAAAAGGAUUUUAGGAGAAAAUGGAGCUGUAAUUAUAACCAGGACCAGGACUGAUGGCAGAUUGGCCUCGAGGAAACAGACUCUCACCAAUGAGAUUUCAGAACUGAGGUGGGUGUCUCUUGGGCCUGAUGUUGGCCUGGAACUCUGCUGGUGGGAGCUGGAAUACAGAUCGAGCACCCAGGUCUGGAAUCCCAAACCCAAAUGCUCAGAAAUUUGAAAUCUGGAGGAUCAACAUGAUGCUGCAAGUGGAAAAUUCC